rnacentral:rRNA from 1 species
CCUACGGGAGGCAGCAGUGGGGAAUAUUGGGCAAUGGGCGCAAGCCUGACCCAGCAACGCCGCGUGAAGGAAGAAGGCUUUCGGGUUGUAAACUUCUUUUGUCAGGGACGAAGCAAGUGACGGUACCUGACGAAUAAGCCACGGCUAACUACGUGCCAGCAGCCGCGGUAAUAUGUAGGUGGCAAGCGUUAUCCGGAUUUACUGGGUGUAAAGGGCGUGUAGGCGGGGAAGCAAGUCAGAUGUGAAAACCACGGGCUCAACCUGUGGCCUGCAUUUGAAACUGUUUUUCUUGAGUGCUGGGGAGGCAAUCGGAAUUCCGUGUGUAGCGGUGAAAUGCGUAGAUAUACUGAGGAACACCAGUGGCGAAGGCGGAUUGCUGGACAGUAACUGACGCUGAGGCGCGAAAGCGUGGGGAGCAAACAGGAUUAGAUACCCUUGUAGUC